rnacentral:rRNA from 1 species
AGAGUUUGAUCAUGGCUCAGGACGAACGCUGACGGUGUGCUUUAGGUAUGCAAGUCGAACGAGAAAGCCCUUCGGGGUGAGUAGAGUGGCGAACGGGUGAGUAACACGUGGGCAACCUGCCCCUCGCAGGGGGAUAACCGGAGGAAACUCCGGCUAAUACCCCGUAAGCUUUCAGGGUCGCAUGGCCCUGUAAGGAAAGGUAGCUUCGGCCAUCCGGCGAGGGAUGGGCCCGCGGUGCAUUAGCUAGUUGGUAGGGUAAUGGCCUACCAAGGCAACGAUCGGUAGCUGGUCUGAGAGGACGGACAGCCACACGGGGACUGAGAUACGGCCCCGACUCCUACGGGAGGCAGCAGCUAGGAAUCUUGGGAAUGGGCGAAAGCCUGACCCAGCAACGCCGCGUGGGCGAUGAAGGCCUUCGGGUCGUAAAGCCCUUUUGCAGGGGAAGAUAAUGACGGUACCCUGCGAAUAAGCCACGGCUAACUACGUGCCAGCAGCCGCGGUAAUACGUAGGUGGCAAGCGUUGUCCGGAUUUACUGGGCGUAAAGGGCGUGCAGGCGGUUUGCUAAGUCUAGGGUGAAAGCUCCCGGCUCAACUGGGAGAGGUCCUUGGAUACUGGCAAACUUGAGGGAUGCAGAGGAAAGUGGAAUUCCCGGUGUAGUGGUGAUAUGCGUAGAUAUCGGGAGGAACACCAGUGGCGAAGGCGGCUUUCUGGGCAUUUCCUGACGCUGAGACGCGAAAGCGUGGGGAGCGAACCGGAUUAGAUACCCUGGUAGUCC